GUGCUUGCCUCAACAGCACAUAUACUAAAAUUGGAACAACACAGAGAUUAGCAUGGCCCCUGCACCAGGAUGACACACAAAUGCAUGAAGCAUUCCAUAUUAAA